AACUGUGUUUGCGAACGGCAGGCACUUGCGCCUUGUAAGCGGUGGGUCGUCGGUUCGAAUCCGAUCUCCG
rnacentral:tRNA from 1 species